rnacentral:rRNA from 1 species
AUUGAACGCUGGCGGCAGGCCUAACACAUGCAAGUCGAGCGGAGCGGCGGACGGGUGAGUAAUGCCUAGGAAUCUGCCUGGUAGUGGGGGAUAACGUCCGGAAACGGGCGCUAAUACCGCAUACUAUCAGAUGAGCCUAGGGAGGAUUGGAUAGUUGGUGGGGUAAAGGACUACCAAGGCGAAGAUCCGUAACUGGUCUGGGGGGAGGAUCAGUCACACUGGACCUGAGAUACGGUCCAGACUCCUACGUGAGGCAGCAGUGGGGAAGAUUUGACAAUGGGCGAAAGCCUGUUCCAGCCAUGCCGCGUGUGUGAAGAAGGUCUUCGGAUUGUAAAGCACUUUAAGUUGGGAGGCGUUACCAACAGAAUAAGCACCGGCUAACUUCGUGCCAGCAGCCGCGGUAAUUC